ACCCAACCACCGCUAAGCCCCAUUAAAACCACUCUUUAUUGAUUUAUGUAAGUACCUAAUGUUUUCCUCACAAAAGUAAGCCCUUGACCACAGAAAAGGCUGCAAAACCAAGUAGUGCUACAACAGGCAUGCCAACCACAGCAGGCACCUGCGGGGGAGAAGCAGGGUGGGUUACUCUACUAGACCUCUACGUCUUCAUGAAACUUGGCUCAUCUUUUCAGGGGAGAGGGUGGGUUUCAGAUAUCACAGAGGUAGAGAUGAGCCCCUGGGUACCCUGAUAGAACAGAGCUGUGCUGUAUCCCUUUCUUGUCUAGUGGGAGUUGACAAACUCUUUAGAGCACAGCCCCCUAGGAAGUCAACCCACCUUAUACCUGCACCUGUACUCUGUACCUCAGAGUACAAAGAGACAUCUCUGAAGGUCUGAAUGGUCCUUGUUGUGUUCUAGCCUCCUGGGCCUAAGCACCACUUUUUGUUUACAGUAUGGGUCUUCUACCACCAGCAACAUUUGCACAAAACAAAAACCCUGGAGGCUGGUGACAGCUCAGUUGAUCAAGUUCUUGCUGCACAAGCAGGAGCCUGAGAAUACUCACCAGAACCAAGGAGAAACAAGAAGCCUUUGACCUCUGCAGAGGGGAGCAGAGAAGAGCUCCUGAGAGCCUUGGUGGUAUCCCCUGAACUCAGAGUACAAUAGCCCUUGGACUUGGGGACUCCUCUUUCAGGGAUUUGCUCC
ensembl:processed_transcript Gm14617 predicted gene 14617